GUCCGAUGGUUGAGACCAGGUCUGAGGAAGUAUUCCUGUCAACUCACAAUCGACACAAACACAGUGAACACAAACCUCCAACUGUCUGACAACAACAGGAAGGUGACACAUGUGGAGGAGGUUCAGUCAUAUCUUGAUCAUCCACACAGAUUUGAUGUUCAUCAGCUGCUGUGUAGAAAUGGUCUGACUGGUCGCUGUUACUGGGAGGUCGAGUGGA